rnacentral:rRNA from 1 species
UGCCCUCCACUCGCACGCCCGACUCUCCUGCCCUCCACUCACACCCGACUCACUGCCCUCGUUCGCAGCCGCCCUCCAUCCCUUCGCCGCCGCCAAGACCCCGCUGGAUCUCACCGCCGCCGAUCUCCUCGAGAAGACCCUGCCGGAUCUCACCGUCGCCGAUCUCCUAGAGAAGACCCUGCCGGAUCUCACCGCCGUCGAUCUCCUCGCGAAGAUCCCGCCGGAUCUCGCUGCCGCCGUAACUCCAUAAAGCCGCCGCCGCCGAUCCCCUCCGGAAGACCCCGCCGGAUCUUGCGUCGGGGCCACGGUUCUGGAUCGCCGUCGCAGGGCGGUUUCAACCAGAGCCGGCGGCCUUGAGGAGAGGAGCUCGACGAGCGGGCAGGGUGACCCCAUGCCUUGGAGACGGCGACCCUCAACCCCUUGCUGCUGUGGUGCACUGGGCACAUAUGUGACGAGGAGGAGGCGAGCCACAAUUCAUCACCUUCCUCGUCUCUCUCAUGGCUGUGCACAAGGAUGUCCGCACCCCGAGCCGAGCUCUGUUUGACCGGAGGACAAGCAGAGGAAAGGCGAACAGGGGUGAUGACGUGGCUCCUGAGCAAGGUGAACAUCGCCUUUAAGGCGAGCGGUGGCGGUAUCUCCCUUACAACCGCACUUCAUUUCUUACAUUGUUUGCUCCUCUUAUCAAGGGCACAUCGGUCAGAUGCAUCCUUGAAAAAAGGGUACAUUGAUCAAGUUGUUUCCUGAUGUUUGCACUCGCUGCUUUAUAGCGUAUUUUUUUUCAUAUGAUUUUGGAUAUUUUGUUUCCGUACUGUACCUUAGUUUGGAAUUUAUUUUGUAGGCACCUUAUCUUGGGCCCCUACAAUAAGUAAACUCAACAUGCGUGAUUCUGAUUAGAGGCAACCCGAUCGUUAUUGAACAUAUUGAUGAUUCCUGUUGUGUAUUCUCAAGGAAUGGUCAGGUUUAGUACUGUAACUAUUUUCUUAUCAAAUAUAUUUGGGUGGUGCUCAAAAUGCAGAGCUGAAAAGCAAGAAACGUAAAGCCACCUCUGAAGAUAAGUUCACCAUGCCUCCCAGAGUGUCACCCCGCUUCGUUGAACUUAAUGGAAUAAGAUCAGAUCAGAAUAACCUUUGUAAACUAGGCAACUGAAUCAUUUCAUUGUUGCUUGUCCAUGUAACGAAGAACUAUCAUUUGGGUACCAAGUUCCACUUCAGGCCAGGAAAAUUUCUUAUAACUUCAAAACGGCAAGGGAUGCACCAUUGUCUUCAGGUCUGCCUUGCAGGUUGGAGUGCAGCUUUCAGAUAUCUUUCUUUCCUUGGGAUAGUUGGAAUGGAAUACUAUGACUAGAUAUACAAUGGUAUUGUUAUCAGUGUUCGGCCUUCAAUGAUUUCGGUGCAGCAUGUCUAGACCAUCAACGGCAAUUUGAGCUCCUUAGUGAAGUGCUUACAUCAAUCUCGUGCAUAGUCUCGAUCACCACCACCGGGGCAGCUACUUCUGCUGGAGGGGCUGGGCGCCGCCGUGCGGAUGCUAUCACCCAUGCGCGCAGUGAUGGCAUGGUGGCCGAAGAAGGCCGUCUUCUGGGGAGCCGCGCGCUGGCCGCCAUCUCCACCCGCGGCCACACCAACAAGACAGGUGAUUUUAGGGUUGGUUCUGUCUGAAACCAAGCUGGCAGUAAUAUGCAGAGAAGGUUCGCCUGACAUAAUGACCAACGAGAGCAAGUUGUUUUUUCUUGAUGAAAAUGAUAGCUACCACUUGAUGAGAUUUAGCAAUACAAGCAUUUCCUCUAAUUUUAUUUGUAGGUAAUCCUUUAAGCUCCAAGGAAAUAGCUGAAUGUCACUACCAAAUUAAAUUACAUUUGUACAGAAAAUACGUGGAGUUAUGUGAUCUGCAAGUGAGCAGCUCUCUCAUCAACGAGUUAAUAACAUUAAAAUAGGUAGCAGUACCAAUUUUUCCCAGUAAAAGUGAUUUUUUGUUUUCUUCAUUCAAUUAACCAUCGUUUUGAUCGAUGAUGCAUAAUAGAAAUAUGCAUUUCUUUACUGUUUUUUCUCCAUAAGAUCCUUUUAUCACUCAUUAAAAUUUUGCAAGUUCUUGCCAUACCCGAAGCUUCCAUUAUCGCUGACUUCGCCGGAAUGCCUGCACCCAUGUUCCAGGUGCCAAUAAUGAAUCCUGUGUUUAGGUGCUUCUACAUGAAUCCCGUGCAUAGUCUCGAUCACCACCACUGGGGUAGCUACUUCUGCUGGCAGUAGCACUUCCCUCUGACAUGUGUUUUUUUGUCGUUGUGUGCUUCUACAUUAAUCCUGGGUCGUUGUAUUUAGGUUCUCUAAGGCCUAAACUGUGACUUUUCUUAAUUGUAUGUGUUACAACUCGUUUUACUGUACUAAUUUAUUCAGUUGCACCAAUACAAAGUGUGGAGAGUUUGGGUUCGGAAGGUAGUUAGCCUACAAGAGAAGGGGGUUUAGUAUUUUCUUGAUGGCACAUGUUGGAAGGUGCCAUCUUUAUUUCUCUUAUCUUAUGGGUUUCCUCACAAUUGUUUUCUUACAAUGUGCACAAUUUUGCAACAAUAAACAUUGGCUGGGUAUAUACACUUGAAUAGAUGAUCUGGUUAUAUAGCAUGCACCCCGAGGAGUUUCAGGAAUUAUGAUGUGUUGGUUUUAUUUGGUUGAAACCAUUAAUGGUUGUCUGAGUUACUUGACUAGGACUGUUUGGGCAUGAAGUGUGUGCUCUAUAACUCCUUCCUAUUGGAUAUUUUUGCUCUCCUUAUUGCACAUGUUCCUGAGAAAAGUGAAGUACUUAUGUCGAUAAGAUGUUGAUUCUCAAAACUCUUAACAUCUUAUAGUGUAUCGGUAGUGUUAAAACAAAAAUAGCGAUUACUUUUCUCGUGUUAUCAUCUAUUGUGUUUCUUCUGUCCUUGAUUCCAAAGGAACUGUAGUAAUUACUUUGCCUAAAGUUUGUGUUAUUUCCAUUUACGAUGUGUUCAACUCAAUUGUGUUACUAAAAUACUUUUAUCGGCGGAUAUUUAUCAAGAAGUAACAUGUCACCACUUUGAUAACAACCUUAGUUUUACAUGCAUUAGUUUUCUAAUUAAAUGUUGUCAUUGUAAGCAUCAAAACUAUCUUCUAGAUUCACAACUUAUGCUUAUGCCUCCGUUUAAAAAAACUAGCUUCUACAGUCACAGCCUUGCUGGGAGCCAGGGUGAGAAACUAAAUGUCAACAUGGUUGUGCAGGUCUGCAGGAGGUGCCUUUGAGAACUUGAUCAGCUACUUGAGCUUCAUUGUCAGCGAAGUCUCCACUGGGUUGCCCAGAUCUGUCCUGAAUUGCUUCAUUGAUGACAAUUUGGAGAAGGCUCCGCUGACACUUACAAAGGAUGUUUUCCUUUGUUGGAAAGACGAGGAUACGCUGGAGAUAGACAUGGGGUGGUAAGAAAAUGAUGAGUUACUGAUGAUAUUAUGCUUGCUGGUCUAAACCUACAUGUAUUAUGUCAGUUUGUUGUUAAGAGUAUCUUGAAAAUAUAAAGCCACUGGAUGGCCAGGCAUUCUAUACUAUCGUCUUUCCAAGAGCCCACAUUUCUGCAUGUAUAUAUUUGUUGUACAGCCUAUGCUGAUUUGCCUACAAUAAUUAUCAGAAGGUAAUAUGCAGCAGCCAAAUUCUCUCGG